UGGGUCUUUGAAGUGAAAAUCUACGCCAUUCCUCGUGUAAAGCAGCUUCCAAUUGGGCCAGGUUCUGUAAAGGAGGAUCCCAUUGUUGCACACCACGACCAAUCAUGUCCGAGAUAUGAUCUAAGGAGUUAAGAUCGGGGCUCAUUCAA